rnacentral:tRNA from 1 species
AGCACGGUGGUGCAGUUGGUAGCACUGUUGCCUCACAGCAAGAAGGUCCUGGGUUCAAAGCCUUUCUGAGUUU